GUUGAAGUAUGAGAUGAGAUGGAU
rnacentral:miRNA from 1 species